UAGGUAGCUUAACCGUAAGGAGGGCGCUUACCACGGUAGGAUUCGUGACUGGGGUGAAGUCGUAACAAGGUAGCCGUAUCGGAAGGUGCGGCUGGAUCACCUCCUUUCUAGA
rnacentral:rRNA from 3 species